UACGUAGGGGGCAAGCGUUGUCCGGAAUCAUUGGGCGUAAAGAGCGUGUAGGCGGCCCGAUAAGUCCGCUGUGAAAGUCCAGGGCUCAACCCUGGGAUGCCGGUCGAUACUGCCGGACUAGAGUCCGGAAGAGGCAAGUGGAAUUCCCGGUGUAGCGGUGAAAUGCGCAGAUAUCGGGAGGAACACCAAUGGCGAAGGCAGCUUGCUGGGACGGUACUGACGCUGAGACGCGAAAGCGUGGGGAGCAAACAGG
rnacentral:rRNA from 1 species